rnacentral:rRNA from 1 species
CCUACGGGAUGCAGCAGUGGGGAAUAUUGCACAAUGGGGGAACCCCUGAUGCAGCAACGCAGCGUGAGUGCAGAAGUAUUUCGGUAUGUAAAGCUCUAUCAGCAGGGAAGAAAAUGACCGUACCUGAUUAAGAAGCCCCGGCUAACUACGUGCCAGCAGCCGCGGUAAUACGUAGGGGGCACGCGUUAUCCGGAUUUACUGGGUGUAAAGGGAGCGUAGACGGAGAAGCAAGUCUGAAGUGAAAGCCCGUGGCUUAACCAUGGGACUGCUUUGGAAACUGGUUGACUUGAGUGCUGGAGAGGUAAGUGGAAUUCCUAGUGUAGCGGUGACAUGCGGAGAUAUUAGGAGGAACACCAGUGGCGAAGGCGGCUUACUGGACAGUAACUGACGUUGAGGCGCGAAAGCGUGGGGAGCAAACAGGAUUAGAUACCCGGGUAGUC